rnacentral:rRNA from 1 species
AUUGAACGCUGGCGGCAUGCCUUACACAUGCAAGUCGAACGGCAUCGCGGGAAAGCUUGCUUUCCUGGCGGCGAGUGGCGAACGGGUGAGUAACACAUCGGAACGUACCGGCUAGUGGGGGAUAACCCGUCGAAAGACGGGCUAAUACCGCAUACGCUCUUCGGAGGAAAGCAGGGGACCUUUGGGCCUUGCGCUAGCCGAGCGGCCGAUGUCCGAUUAGCUAGUUGGUGGGGUAAAGGCCUACCAAGGCGACGAUCGGUAGCGGGUCUGAGAGGACGAUCCGCCACACUGGGACUGAGACACGGCCCAGACUCCUACGGGAGGCAGCAGUGGGGAAUCUUGGACAAUGGGGGCAACCCUGAUCCAGCAAUGCCGCGUGGGUGAAGAAGGCCUUCGGAUUGUAAAGCCCUUUCGGCAGGGAAGAAAUCGGCGGGGCGAAUAACCCUGCUGGAUGACGGUACCUGCAGAAGAAGCACCGGCUAACUACGUG